AUUGAACGCUGGCGGCAGGCCUAACACAUGCAAGUCGAGCGGAUGAAGGGAGCUUGCUCCUGGAUUCAGCGGCGGACGGGUGAGUAAUGCCUAGGAAUCUGCCCGGUCGUGGGGGAUAACGUCCGGAAACGGGCGCUAAUACCGCAUACGUCCUGAGGGAGAAAGUGGGGGUUCUUCGGACCUCGCGCUAUCAGAUGUGCCUAGGUCGGAUUAGCUAGUUGGUGGGGUAAAGGCCUACCAAGGCGACGAUCCGUAACUGGUCUGAGAGGAUGAUCAGUCACACUGGAACUGAGACACGGUCCAGACUCCUACGGGAGGCAGCAGUGGGGAAUAUUGGACAAAGGGCGAAAGCCUGAUCCAGCCAUGCCGCGUGUGUGAAGAAGGUCUUCGGAUUGUAAAGCACUUUAAGUAGGGAGGAAGGGCAGUAAGUUAAUACCUUGCUGUUUUGACGUUACCAACAGAAUAAGCACCGGCUAACUUCGUG
rnacentral:rRNA from 1 species